UACGUAGGGGGCAAGCGUUAUCCGGAUUUACUGGGUGUAAAGGGCGUGUAGGCGGGAGUGCAAGUCAGAUGUGAAAACCACGGGCUCAACCUGUGGCCUGCAUUUGAAACUGUACUUCUUGAGUACUGGAGAGGCAGACGGAAUUCCUAGUGUAGCGGUGAAAUGCGUAGAUAUUAGGAGGAACACCAGUGGCGAAGGCGGUCUGCUGGACAGCAACUGACGCUGAGGCGCGAAAGCGUGGGGAGCAAACAGG
rnacentral:rRNA from 1 species